GACGAACGCUGGCGGCGUGCUUAACACAUGCAAGUCGAACGGAAAGGCCCUGCUUUUGUGGGGUGCUCGAGUGGCGAACGGGGGAGUAACACGUGAGUAACCUGCCCUUGACUUUGGGAUAACUUCAGGAAACUGGGGCUAAUACCGGAUAGGAGCUCCUGAUGCAUGGUGGGGGAUGGAAAGUUUCGGCGGUGGUGGAUGGACUCGCGGCUUAUCAGCUUGUUGGUGGGGUAGUGGCUUACCAAGGCUUUGACGGGUAGCCGGCCUGAGAGCGUGGCCGGCCACCUUGGGACUGCGGUACGGCCCAGACUCCUACGGGAGGCAGCAGUCGGGAAUAUUGCACAAUGGGCGGAAGCCUGAUGCAGCAACGCCGCGUGCGGGAUGACGGCCUUCGGGUUGUGAACCGCUUUCGCCUGUGACGAAGCGUGAGUGACGGUAAUGGGUAAAGAAGCACCGGCUAACUACGUG
rnacentral:rRNA from 1 species